rnacentral:rRNA from 1 species
ACUCAAAUGAAUUGACGGGGGCCCGCACAAGCGGUGGAGUAUGUGGUUUAAUUCGACGCAACGCGAAGAACCUUACCAGCCUUUGACAUGUCCACUAUGGACCUGAGAGAUCAGGUCCUUCACUUCGGGUGGGUGGAACACAGGUGCUGCAUGGCUGUCGUCAGCUCGUGUCGUGAGAUGUUGGGUUAAGUCCCGCAACGAGCGCAACCCUCAUCUUCAGUUGCCCACGGGUCAGGCCGGGCACUCUGAAGAAACUGCCGGUGACAAGCCGGAGGAAGGCGGGGAUGACGUCAAGUCCUCAUGGCCCUUACAGGCUGGGCUACACACGUACUACAAUGGUGGUGACAAUGGGCAGCGAAGUCGCGAGACGGAGCCAAUCCCCAAAAACCAUCUCAGUUCAGAUUGCACUCUGCAACUCGAGUGCAUGAAGUUGGAAUCGCUAGUAAUCGCAGAUCAGCACGCUGCGGUGAAUACGUUCCCGGGCCUUGUACACACCGCCCGU